CCACACCUCUUUUUUCCGGAGCCUGCCAGUCCUGUGCCCGGGUCUUGGCUCUCACGGAACCCCGACAUAGCCGGCCAUCCCCACCCGGCUCUGACCGCACAGACAGGCAAUCUCGGCACAAAGAGGAGACAGCCCAAGGGAAGUGCUUUUGAAGAAAGGAUAGGACUGAAGAGGAGUUAACAAGGGAAUCUCAAGCAGGACAACGUGAACAAAGUUGCAACGGGUAAGAAUCCCAGUAAGAAAAGAAGAGGAGAAACAAAUGGUUUCCAAACAGGAAGCAGGACACUGUGCGCGCCAUAGAGCAAUAAGCACAUCAGUCCGGCUAAAUGUGAGCGGCGACUUAAGAUAUCUGAGCACGGGAUUGGCCGACUUUAAGAGGCCAUUUAAGAAAACUGUGGCUCCCAAUCUCCCUGUCUUUGUUUACCAGCAAGCUUUUCAGCCCCACCCAUGUUCCAAGACAAAUCAGAUCAGUACACCCCAAUCCUUUCUAAAGCCCUAAGUUCUUUCUUCCAAAUAUUUCUAACACUUUAUAUAU